rnacentral:rRNA from 1 species
UACGUAGGCAGCGAGCGUUGUUCGGAAUUACUGGGCGUAAAGAGUGUGUAGGCGGUGCUCUAAGUUUGGUGUGAAAUCUCCCGGCUUAACUGGGAGGGUGCGCCGAAAACUGGAAGGCUUGAGUAUGGGAGAGGUAAGCGGAAUUCCUGGUGUAGCGGUGAAAUGCGUAGAUAUCAGGAGGAACACCUGCGGUGUAGACGGCUUACUGGACCAUAACUGACGCUGAGGCACGAAAGCGUGGGUAGCAAACAGG